UCCCUGGUGGCUUAGAGGUUAAAGCAUCUGCCUGCAAUGUGGGAGACCUGGGUUCGAUCCCUGGGUUGGGAA
rfam:Ovis aries breed Texel chromosome 10, whole genome shotgun sequence.